UACGUAGGGUGCGAGCGUUAAUCGGAAUUACUGGGCGUAAAGCGUGCGCAGGCGGUUUGUUGUGUCUGAUGUGAAAGCCCCGGGCUCAACCUGGGAAUGGCAUUGGAAACUGGCGAGCUGGAGUGUGGCAGAGGGGGGUGGAAUUCCCGGUGUAGCGGUGAAAUGCGCAGAUAUCGGGAGGAACACCGGUGGCGAAGGCGGUUCUCUGGGCCUGUACUGACGCUGAGGAGCGAAAGCGUGGGGAGCGAACAGG
rnacentral:rRNA from 1 species